rnacentral:rRNA from 1 species
UACGUAGGGUGCAAGCGUUAAUCGGAAUUACUGGGCGUAAAGCGCGCGCAGGCGGCCCGCGAGGUGUCACGUGGAAGCCCCGGGCUCAACCCGGGAGGGUCGUGGCAAACCGGCGGGCUUGAGGCCGGUAGAGGUGGGUGGAACUCCUGGUGGAGUGGUGAAAUGCGUAGAGAUCAGGAAGAACACCCGUGGCGAAGGCGGCCCACUGGGCCGGUACUGACGCUGAGGCGCGAAGGCGUGGGGAGCGAACGGG